rnacentral:rRNA from 1 species
UCCAGGCCCUACGGGGUGCAGCAGGCGCGAAAACUUUACAAUGCUGGGAACAGCGAUAAGGGAACCUCGAGUGCCAGGUUACAAAUCUGGCUGUCGUGAUGCCUAAAAAGCAUUAUAUAGCAAGGGCCGGGCAAGACCGGUGCCAGCCGCCGCGGUAACACCGGCGGCUCGAGUGGUAACCGUUAUUAUUGGGUCUAAAGGGUCUGUAGCCGGCCGGAUAAGUCUCUUGGGAAAUCUGGCAGCUUAACUGUCAGGCUUUCAGGGGAUACUGUCUGGCUCGAGGCCGGGAGAGGUGAGAGGUACUUCAGGGGUAGGGGUGAAAUCUUGUAAUCCUUGAAGGACCACCAGUGGCGAAGGCGUCUCACCAGAACGGACCUGACGGCAAGGGACGAAAGCUAGGGGCACGAACCGGAUUAGAUACCCGGGUAGUCCUAGCCGUAAACGAUACUCGCUAGGUGUCGGCCACGGUGCGACCGUUGUCGGUGCCGUAGGGAAGCCGUGAAGCGAGCCACCUGGGAAGUACGGCCGCAAGGCUGAAACUUAAAGGAAUUGGCGGGAA